UCCAUGAUGUAAGAGGUGGAGUAUCUGAAUCCUUGAAUGUUAAGAUGCCAUAGCCGUACCGAUCUCCCCUUACAGCAUCCGAAGAAGCUAUUGAUUCGAGUUCAGCCAUUUCUUCUGGCGUUAGUUUGACAGACAGAGCUCCAACAUUCUGGUUGAAGUUUUCGAUCUUGGUGGUUCCAGGAAUAGGACAUACAUCAUCACCCUGGUGGUGUACCCAGGCUAACGCCAGCUGCGAUGAAGUGCACUGUUUCCUUGCUGCGAUUUCCUUAACCCGCUCAAAUAGUUGUGAGUUAUGUUCAAGAUUUUCAGGUCGGAACCUAGGCAAACCCUGAGACAAUUGAAACACUAGUUAAUUUCAGCAGCUAAGCCUGAAACAACUCGUCAAGAAGAAAGCAUCAUAGAUUACAGUUUAUGCAACAUUCCAGAUGUACUUGUAACAUGUCCUUUUUGCCAUAACAAAACAUUAAUCCUAGUACUAAACGCAAACCAUCAUGAUAUUGUAUACCACGCAGUUUUUUAUGGGUGCAAGCACGCCAAAUUCCCAUGUACAAGGCGAGUGAGCAGAUUUUGGGAAUCCAGAAGUACUGAAGAAUGAAUAUCAGAGAGAAAGAUUUAAGCAAAACAUUAAGUAUGCAGAACUUUUUGUUUGGACAUGCAUGGGACAAACUAAAGCCACCUGUCUAAUACAAGGAGAUCCUGUAAAUCUGUGUUUUAUUUGAUUGAAUCUUUAAGCAAUCCAAGUGUAUAGCAUAUUUGUAGGAAUAAUGCAAAUGUGAAAGAACUGCUAGGUAAAAUAUAAUGAUCUCAAAGCUAAACUUUUACUUUGUGCAAGUUUCUUCUAUGGAGUUUAGACCACCAAACCACUCCAUAAGAUGGAAGAGACUAUUUUCUGAGGCAUCUAAGCUAACCAAUAUAUUGUCAAAAACUCGUUACUUAAAAGUUUAUUAGGUGAGUUUUCAAGAACGGUUUUAUAUUAUUCUGUAACGCAUAUAACAGUCAAAGGAGGAAAUGUGAUUUGUGACAUUCCUUCCUUUCCAAACUGUAAAAGAUUAUGCUUGUACAAUUGGUUAUUUACUGGACAUGUAUUAUACAGAUCACAAACUCUAUAUUCAAAAAGAAAAGAACCUACCUUUCUGUAGUCACCAUCUGUAAAGCUCUCAACCAACUUAGGCCCAGAGGAAAAGAAUCCCCGUCCUAGAGGACUGUAAGCAACAAUCCCAAUGCCAAGUUCUCUGAACCAUUAGAAUGAUAAGAUCAGAAUCUGGAUAUCUAAGGCAUCCCAUAAACAGCCUAAGGUUUCGGUUAUUUUGAUCUCCAAAGGAAAUUAGUUUUUCUCAUCAAUGCCUCACCUGCAGGUAGGAACAAUCUCUUCCUCCACAUCUCUUGACCACAGUGACCACUCCAACUGCACGGCUGUUAUCGGAUGAACAGCGUGAGCUCUUCUGAUUGUUGAAGCAGAGGCCUCAGACAGACCUAUAUACUUUAUUUUACCUUCUUCAACUAGUUUCUUGAGUUCCCCCAUCUAGCAAAGAAAAGAAUUAUGAGUGCACGACUGCAAGAAAAUUUUCAGCUAGAAUGCAGGGACAGAACCCACUAUUAGCAUUGUCGGCAUCCAACUACGAAAGAGACCAUUGCAAGAUGUCAAUGCACAUAAUGAGCAUGACGGUAUUAUCAGUAACAUGUCUAAUCUAUAAUUUUAGUGGGUUUAUGCUCAAGUUUUAGGGAUUUUUGGAUAUGCCUGUCACAGAUUCUGGAAAAUAUAUCAUCAAGUAAAAGAAAAAUUCUCUAACUAUCAUCAUGGCCAUCGAACGAUCAAGAUUAAUCAGAACAAUAUUCAGAAAUAAAAACAAUUAAAGAGAAAUACCGUAGCUUCAAUAGGAACGCUGGUAUCAAUGCGAUGUUGGUAAUAAAGAUCAAUGGAUUCAAGUUGAAGGCGUUUCAAGCUGGCCUCACAAGCAGCUCUCACAUAAUCAGGAUCCCCUCGAAUCUCAAAACUGCCGUCCUUAAAGCUGGCGCCAAAUUUGGUGGCCAAUUCAACUCUCUGUCGUAAUCCUCCCGCCUUCAAGGCCUUGCCCAGAAGGAUUUCGUUGGUGUGGGGUCCAUAGACAUCAGAGGUGUCGAGUAAAGUGACCCCGGUGUUGACGGCAUGGUUGAUGAGGGCGAUCAUGUCCGAUUCAGGCUUUGGAGGGCCGUAGGCGCCGAAAGACAUGCCCAUGCAUCCAAGUCCCUGUGCUGAUACUUCAAGACCCUGUGACCCCAGCUUGAUCCUUUUCAAUGUUGCCAUCUCUCUUGUUCUUAAGAACUCUAUUGUUAAUUGACACAAUGGCGAAGCAGUUGAAACGAAACCGCAAUAAAUAGAGAAAGGGUGUGCGAGCGCGCGGACGAGACUAAUAUCUAACGUCAGCACCCACGUACUGGAAGUAGCACAGGAUUGUUUGGGAAUUUGAUUUGUCGUUUUUAAAAUAUUUUUUUAUUUAAAAAUAUAUUAAAAUAAUAUUUUUAACAUUUUCUUAGAUAUAUGUGAUCAUUUUAUAUGAAAUUUUUAUGCAGAUUAGUUCAAUAUACAUGUUUUAUGACAAACACUUAUAUAUUAGUUUUAGAUUUUUCUUGUACCUUAACUUAUGAGAACAACUGUUUCCUUUCAUAAAAAAAAAAGGAACAUAAUAUGUACAAUUCUCUACGACUCUAAUAAAUAUCUAGUGUUUAAGAGAACAUCGACCAAGAACAUUUUAAAAAUAAUGUUUUGAUGCAAUAAUAAUCUCAUAAUUAUAACAACUUUAUAAUUUUCUUUGUAAAGUAUUUUUGUCAUAUGAAUUUUAUUUUUACAGUAGAUUUAUAAAUCAUAUGUUAAAUUUAUUAAUCUAAUAUUAUAUAAAUAUUAAAUACAAAUUAACUCUUUAUUAAUAAUAAAUAUAUAUUUAUACAAAUAUAAUAAUAUUAUGUGUAAUUAGUUAAUUGACUAACUGAUCGGCAAUGGCAUGACUCUCUCUAUCUCUUCUAGACACAUUGAAAUUCCAACGCAAACGUUAGUCAAUAAACUCGUCUAGAUAUUUAGUCUAGAAUCUAGAUAUUUAGUGAUUCACUUAUCCUUUUCAAAUCUAAUUUAAAUCUAGCUGAUUCAAUAUAAAAUAAAUAAAUAAAUAAAUAAAUAAAUGAUACUUUGAACAAUUAUUUUUAGGUAAGUCUUUAUAUCGAGUAUAUAAAAUUUUUAGAAAUGAUACUUUGAAUAAUUAUUUGCAAGUUUUUAUAUUGAGUUUGACAUAUAUAAUAUAAAAUUUUUGGUCACUCUCAACAAUUAGAAAAUAAAUAAAUAAAUAAUACUUUGAACAAUUAUUUUCAGGUAAGUUUUUAUAUCAAGUAUGAUAGAUAUAAUAUAAAGUUUGGCAUUGACAUGCAAAUGCUGGACUAUAUUAUAUACAUCAUUCAAUUAGUGCAUGAUCACAAAUUCCGCAACUUGUUCUUCACUGUGCAUAAAGCAUAGAUUUUAAAUCCAAGUAUGGACUGGAAGAUUUACAUGGAAAACUUGUAAUUUCAAGUUUAAUAAAAAAUAGUAUUAUUGGUGUUAUAAAUAUUAUUAUUUUUAGUAUAGUUAGUGGUAUUAAUAUUAAAAAUAAUAUUAUUUUUAUUAUGUUUGAUGGGGACAUGGUGAGGCUGCAGCCUGCAGACCCCAAGCGCACGCCCACUGGGGCUGCGGACAUUUGACGCUUGGCUGCUAGGCCUGGGCGGUGGGCAGACCACGCCCACUGUCCAUGCCCUAGGCUGCAACCACCUGAUGCUUGGUCUACCCAACCUUGGGCACUGGGGGCACACCUGCUCACCUGGCUGCAACCCCAAUUGGCUUGGGUCCUGCGUUAAGACUCAAUGUUCCUGGUCCUGCGACAAGACUUAUUUCUUUUAGAUCAUAACGCAGGACUUAAUGUUCUUGAGUCUUGAGUUGUGUUAUAAACAUUAUUAUUUUUAUUAUAAUUCAAUAAUUCUAAGUAUUAAUAUAAAAAAUAUUAUAAAGUUUAUGUACGUAAUUCUAAAAUAUUAUAAAAAAUGUUAGAGAAUAAUUCUAAGUUGUGUAUGUAAGCAUGAAAACCUCGUACCUAUCACCCUGAACAACACCUGCACAAGCGAUGGAUUCGAGUUCUGCCAUUUCAUCUGGUGUUAUUUCACGUUGCCUGUUAUGCUCCAGAUUUUCUGGACGGAACCUAGGCAGAUCCUGAGACAAUUACUGCAACACAAAUUCAGAAGCUAAGCUUCAGAAAACUCAUCAAAAAGGAAAUCAUCGUAGGUGUAAAGUUUAUGCAAGGCGUUCCAUAUGCACUUGUGACAUUCCUUUUCUAACUAUAAGGUCUUAUGCUACGACAACUGGUUAUUUACUGCGCAAGUACUAGUCGGAAACUUAAUUUUCACAAAGAAGCGUACCGACCUUUCAAAUGUCACCCUCUGAAAAGCUCUUAACUAGCUUAGAUCCCGAUGAAAGGAAUCCCCGUCCUAGGGGACUGUAGGCAACAAUCCCAAUGCCAAGUUCUCUUAUAAAUUAGAAUGACAAAUUUCAUGGCAUGCAAGGCGGAAUGACAGGUUUUUCUCUGAAUAGAAGAGGUUUUGAAUUUGAUCAUAAAUUGUGAUUUUGAAGGAGUUGUUGUCUGUUAUUAUUUUACUAAAAAACUUAUUGGUUUGCGAGAGUUUAAGUAAGAGGACCAGUUGUAUAAGAAAAAGACACAUCAAUCCAGUGCACCUUAGUUGUAUUAUUGAUUGAUUGUUAUUUUAAGCCAUAUUUCUAUUCGUUGGUCUCAUUUAAAGUUCGAGGUAGAUCUUUUUUUAUGAGGAAGUCACUACCCUAUCGGGUUAAAUCCUAACCAUUCUAGAAUUCAAAUUUUAGUAUCACAUUUAUUUUCUACUUUGUAUCUUUAAUAUCUCAGGAUAUACUUUACAAUGUAAUUUUAUACCCUUAAAUAAUAAAGUCUAGAACUAAUUUCUAAUGUUUAUUGCUAUUAACCCAUUUAAUUUAAUAUUGGAAGUAUGUAUUACAUUGUAAAAUUCAUAUCCUGAAUAUUAAUUAAACAAAUUAAUUUUUGUGGUAUUUUUGAGAUUUUGGCUAAAUCUUAAUGAAUAAUCAUAAAUCGAUUACGAUAUUUAUUUGUAUUUUUAAAACAUGAUAAAAAUUCAAUUUGUUUUUGAAAAUAUAUGUGAAAAGAUUUUUAGAAUUUGAUCGUAUGCACGUGAACAAAACAUAUAUAUAUAUAUUUUUAUUUUUGAAAGGAGGAUAUUUUUUGAAUUUUUGGAGAAAAAUCAGUUAUUUUUAAUACGAGUCAGUAUCAUACAAUGUAAGUCUAUAACCUGAUAUUAAAUAGAAUUGUUGAAAAAACACACGAGGGACCCAUAAAUAAUUUUAAAAUGAUCCUUGAAUUUUUUUCCUACUUUUCCGAACUAGUUUAGGGCAUGACUAAACACUACAAUAAUGACAAGAUAAAGAUAAAGCUAAGCUAAAGGAAAUGGUAGGAGGACGUGCUUGCUAAACGUGUCUUUAUCCUAAAAUCAGAGGCAUUGAAAAUGCUUUAAGGCUGUGUUUUGCAAACAUGUCUUAAGGAAAAAAAAAGGCAUUUUUCCUUCGGCAAAAUAGGGCAUGUCAAACACACAUUUAAGGUUGGGUUGGGUUUGGCCCAACCACAUGGGCUGGGCUUAUUAGACCCGAGGCCCAAGCUUAACCUGAUUUUGGGCCGACAGAUGACCCAACAAGCUUCUUCUCCUUUUUGUAUAUAUAUGGAUUGGACCCAGCCCAGUCGCGAGGGCUGGGCUUGGAUUUGGCCCAUUCAGCUUUGUUAAUGGCCCAACCUAGUGACAUUACCUUCGCUAGCAAAUGCAAACAACAUAACGUGAAUUAUUUCACAUUUUGCAUGCACAAAAAGAUGUACUAUAUGUUUUAAAAGGACGAAGAACUCAAGCAAUUCCUAUGAACAAAAACCAUUUUGAUGCUAGUUUAAAACAAACUUGUUUAAAAAAGAACUCGGGCGAUUCACAUAAAUAAGGUUUCUUGAAGGUUGAAUUUCUCUAUGGUAUUGAAGUGCUCAUUUUACUUGUAUAAAUAAUAAAGCAUAAUCAAAGUUUCUUGAAGAGCUCAUUUCACAUGGGAAAGCAUCGUUUACCAAUCCAGAUUGCUUGCCUUUGAUUAAAAAGAGCUUUAUUGGGCACGCAACGUAGGAUUUGGCUUUUGGUCAUGAAAGGAAAUGAUAUUUGUAGGCUCAAAAGGUGUUUAAGAGAUCUUAAAACCAAUGAUCACUAAAUCUCGUUCCCAAACCUUUUUUUUUUGUCAAAGGAUUCCUAGAUCUUAGGGUUGACUAUGCAAAAUAGUUUGACAUGCCCCUAGUGUUUGGACUAUUUGACUUUGAGUGUCAUCAUCAUACUAAUUAUUUCCAUUUUGCAUGGCAUGCUCAACCUUUUUGAAUCUUUGAAUUUCUUCAUGCUCUUGCUUUGUUUGGGCACCUUUGAUAAUUGAGGAUUAUUUUGUAUAUUCUUGCGGUCAAAUUGCUUUUCUAAUCUUGGUACGUUCCCUCAAUAUGGGGUAUGAUCCUAGUCAUGGUUGUUUUGCAAGAAAGACCUACUAGGCUCAAUGAGGACUUGCAAAUGAUAUUUUUUUAAAGUAUUGUGAAGGAUUAUCAAAGAUGACAUUCUCUUAUUUCAAACAUAUGAGUUUAGGAUUAGUAAGCUUUGCUUUUUUUUUUUUCAUUGUGAUUGUUUGGUCAUGCAAAAUUGUUUUCAUCAUAUUUAAAUUAUGAUUGUUAUUCAGCCAACUAAAACUCAGUUUCAAAGUCAUUUAAAUGGUUUGGUUACCUCACUAGGAGAUCACUUGAACUCGCAAAACUCACUUGUAAAAAACAAACACUAAUUUUACCUCUGUAUUUGUACUAAUAACUUUGAUUUUCCAAAAAAUAUUUUUAUAAAAACACAAAAAUGAGGUUUUUUGAGCCUAUGAGAUCAUGUAAAGCUUUUUAAAGUUUACAAAAAGAAAGUGCACCAAAACAUUCCUGGCCAAACUUUGAUCUUUAUUGAUAUAUCGACAAAGUACAUCAUGUAUAAUACUUCUUUAUAAUGUUAGAGUUUACAGGGUUAGGUAAAUCAUCUCCGUCCAUCUUGGUCAAAACCAAGGCUUCUCUGGAAAAGGCUUUACUCACCACAUAUAGUCCUUCAUAUUUUGAUGCCCAUUUGCUCUGAUCUUCUCCUGAUGUUGGUAAGAUCUUUUUCAAUACCUGGUCUUCUUCUUUGAAUACCCCUGUUCUGACUCUCUUGUUGUAUGUCUUAACCAUUUUGCUCUAGUAUAGUUAAUGAUGACAAAUUACUACCAAUCUCUUCUCGUUGAUCAAACUCCACUACUCAAAUUUCAUAUUUGCAUAUUCUGAUUCUUCUAGUUUUGCAUCAUUUAGAACCCUUAAUGAUAGAAUUUCCACUUUUAAAGGUAUUAUCGCUUUUAUCCCAUAUACCAAAAAGUAAAGGGUUGCACCUAUAGAAGUUCUAAUUGUGGUGCAGUAUGCGUAAAGUACGUAUGAAAGCAUCUCGUGCUAGUCUUUGUAGGUGACUAUUAUUUUAUGGAUGAUCUUUUUAAGAUUUUUGUUGGCUGCCUUGACAUUACCAUUCAUCUUGGGUAUGUAAGGAGAAUAAUUAAAGUGCUUAAUCUUACACUUGGUGUAGAGUUCAACAAUCAUCUUCCCAUUAAAAUUUUGAGCAUUGUCAGCUAACAAUUUUUCUAGCAAGCCAUACUGACAAAUCAAAUCUUUCUUGAUGAAUCUCUUGACCAUCUUUUGUGUCACAUGUGCAUAAGAGUUGGUUUCUACCCAUUCAGUGAAGUAGUUAAUGGCCACCAAGAUAAAUUUAUGCCCAUUGAUGGCAUUUGGAUUGAUUGAUCCUAUGACAUCUAAUCCAUACAUAUUGAAAGGCCAAGGCAAGGUCAUAUUGAAUAGGGGUGCCGAAUGUGUAUUUAUCUUAUCCCUAUAUAUCUAACACUUAUAAAAUUUCCUAAUAUAGUUAACACAAUCCCUUUUUAUAGUCAAUCAGAAGUAUCUAAAUCACUGUAUUUGUCUUAUCAUUAUAUGCCUAUUAACAUGAGUGGCACAAAUUCCCUCACGGACCUCUUGUAAAGCUUGCUCAACCUAUUUCUCAUUUAAACACCCAAGUAAAGUCUCGUCGAAUGACCUCCUAUAUAAGAUUUUACAAUCCAAGUUAUAAUCCAUGGUCAUUCUUCUCAAAGUCUUUUCAUCCGUCUUGGAGGCUCCUAAAGGAUAUUCUCGAUGCCGGAUACCAUGGUUUUUCAUUUGUUGUCUCUUCAAGUGAGCAAUAAUGAGCUUGAAAAUUUUUGACUUCAAUGUUUAUUGGUUGAAUCUUGCCCCCAAUAUCAAUAUGUGUCAUCAAAGUGAAGGUGGCCAAGGCGUCGAUAAACUGAUUCUUAUAUCUGCUCAUAUGAUUGGAUUUUAUCUCAUCAAACUUAUUAGCCAACGUCAAAAGAUAAUCUUGGUAUGACCUUAGUUUCAUCCUUAGUUUGCCAUUCCCCCUUCCCUUGGUAGAUAAUUAGUAGUGAAUCUUCAUGAACAUUGAGUUUUCCAACUUUCAGCUCUAAAACAGCUUCUAGACUGAUGAUGCAAGUUUUAUAUUCAUCCAUGUUAUUGUUGCAUUCAAAUUACAACCUCAUCAAAACAUGGUACAACUUCUUUUCUGGAUAAAUUAUCACUGCUAUAGCCCAUUUCUCUAAUAUAUUCAUUACUCCAUCAAAAUACACGGUUCACCAAUUGUUCAACUCAUCGUCAUCCUUAAUUGCUAAUACAUGCUCAUCAUAAAAUUCAAAAUCUAGUGACUUAUAGUCUUCCACAACAUUAUCUGUAAAAUGGUCAAUAAUUGCACUUCCCUUUGUCAUAACCUAAAUUUAGAUUUCCCCUAAAAUUACCAUUGUAUUUUAAAAUGAAAAGCAACUAAAAAAUAAAAAAUGAAAAAUGAAAAAGACUAGCAACUUGGCAAAAGCAAGCUGAAAAGGGUUUCAAAUGCAUGAAAGAACCAAGCUGAAGUUUUAGACAAAAUUGAAAGUCUAAUUAUACCCAAUUAUACCCAAGACUAAAUGAGAAUGCAAAUUCAAGGUCAAACUAAAUGAUUAUUGGAUGAAUUAGCAUAAAAAUUAAGUCUAAGGAUUUAAUUAGACUUUUAAUAGGCUAAUUUUAUUUAAUCAUAUGCCGAAUUAAAUAAUUAAUUAAGUUUAAGAAUUAAUUUUGAUCAAAUUAAAAGAAUUAAUAAAGUGCAAAUACUUAAUUAGACUCUUAAUGGGUUAAAUUAAUUUUACUAGGGACUUAAUUGGAGAAACGUUAACUUUGGAAGCCUAAUCUAGGCUUAAUUGAGAAGAUUGAAAUUUUAGAGGAUGAAAUUUAAUUUUUACCAGCUCAAUCGGCCAAAAUUAGGAACAAAUUGCAAGAAAAUCAAAGUUUGGAGAUCAAAUUGAAAAAUUUUAAAAACCAAGGACCACUUUAUAAAAAACAUAAAAAUUUAAGGGUUUAAUCGACGAAGGCAAGGGAAAAAUUGCAAGGAAUCCAAAAGAUUAGGGCUAAUUGGAGGUUUAAUUACAAAGUUCUAAAGGCUUAGGGACCAAAUUGAAAAAUACAUUAUUUCACUAUUCAUCAUCUUUUUCCCAUUUAAACAAGAGAAAAAAGAUGUCAAGUGCCCACUUUUCAACCCUAAUUUCUCCCUCACCUUUCUCCAUACCACACAAAUCUUAUACUAACUUAUACCUUAAUAUUUGUACUUUACUCUAAGCCAAAAUUCCAGGUCCAAUGGCACCUAAAACACUUGUAGAUUCACUACAAAAACACUAUCCAACAUUGUUCUACCUGCAAAAACAGCCUUGUAUUCUUUCUUUGUCAGUUGCAGAGUAGGACAAGCUUUUGUCCAUACCAUGAAAUAUUAUUCCAUCUCAUAUCCUGGAAGUUUUGAUUCACUCAAAGUCAAAAUUCCACCUCUAAUAGCAUCAAAGCCAUCUGCAGAUUCUCUCUUAGAAAAGCUACCUAGGACUAUUCUACCUGUAAAAAUAGCCUUGGUCCCCCUAUUGUUAGUUGCAGAUCAGGACAAACUUUUGUUCUUAGCUGCACUAAAUGGCUGAGAUCUAUUCUCUAACAUCAAGGGUCAAUAUCCUAUUAAUCCAUGAACCAUAGAACCUCUCCGUUUCUCCGAUAGAAACCCUCUCAUACUCUCUUUCCAUUGGCAAUAAAUUUACCCACAAGUUCACGAACGAAAAUGCUCUGUUGGUAAAACUCUCGUCAGUAAUUUUUAGCAUGUUGGUGAGUCUAUCUGUAAUAAAAUGAUGGAUUUAUUGACGGAAAAGGCAGGAAAAAAAAAACAUACCCACUUCAUUCUGUCAGUAUUCCCUAAAGAAUUUUGCCAUAUAACCGACAGAAAUACCGUAUGUAAUUCUGUCGGUGAUUAAACAAUGACACAAUGACAUUUGCAGUAAUUCUUUUUCAACUUUCUGGAAUAUACCGACGGAUGAAAUCCAUCGGUAAUACUGUCCGUCUUUAUUUAAAAAUAUUUUUUAAAAAAUCUAUUUAAUAGAAGCAAAGAAUAAUUAAAAUAAAAUAAAUUAAUAUAAAUCAACACUCGAUAAUACUUAGGAACUAAGUUGCAAGGAAAAAGAAGAAGAAUAAAAUCAACUCAAACAAAUUUGCAACAAAUAAAUAACAUAAAAAAUAAACAACAACAACAAAUAAAUAAAUCAAUGAAAAAAAUCCUCUUAACCUAGAAAACCUAUUUCAAAACCCAUAAUCCAGUAACAAAUAAAUUAAUUUAAUUGAAAUUGAACAAAUUUGAAAAACAAAAUCCAACUAAAAUAUAAUAAAAUUGAUCUUAUAUGAAAAAAAAAUCUUACAACAACAUUCAUACAAUUAUUAAGAAUAGAAAAAUUUAAAAAUAAAAAAACAAAUAUAAUGUAAAAAAACACAAAAAAGAAAAGAAAAAAUAAUUCAUAAAGUAUGUUAAUUAAAAAAAACUGACAAGAAAAAAGAAGAAAGAGAAGAGAAGACAUACCUGCGCUUGGAGAAGAAGAGAAAAGAAGAGGAGUUGAAGAUAGAAGAGAAAGAAACAAAGGGAUGUUGGUGUUUUUUAUAUAAAGGGAGAAAAAGAAGAAGAAUAAGAAAAAGAAGAGGCAUGUUUGUUAUGAAAAAAGGGAUUAUGGUCUUUUUACUAGGGCAUUUUACCGAUGGUUUUACCGACAUAUAAUUAAAUAUUAAUAUUUUUAAUCAUUUUAUUAGUGAUUUCAUCUAUAAUAUUUAAUUUAAAUCUUCAAUUUAAUCAAAAAAUUUCAGAAACCCUAAAACAAUCACCGACAACUUUUCAAUCCAUCGGUGAUUCUAUCUAUAAUUUUUAAUUCACAUUUUCAAUUUAAUAAAUUUUUUUUAGAAACCCUCUAAAUGUCACUGACGACCUUUUAAUCCAUCGGUGAUUCAAUCUGUAAUAUUUAAUUCAAAUUUUUAAUUUGAUAAAAAAAUUAAGAACCCUCCAAAUAUCACCGAUGACUUUUCAAUCCGUCUGUGAUCCCGUCUAUAAAAAACAAUAAUUAAUAGUGCAAUUAAAAAAUAAACAAUUAUAGAACUCUAUGGAAAAUACCAACAAAAUUAAUCCGUUGGUGAUCCUGUAUGUAAUUAACACAAUGAACAGUGUCAGGGAGAAGGGAACAAUUCCAGAGCUCUGAGGAACCUUUUACUAACAGGUAUACGGACAGAUUUUACCAAUGGUAUUAAUACCGUCGGUAUAAAUAACACGUCAUCAUACUUUUUUGCUUUUUUUUAAUCCUUUUUUUUCCAUUGUAAUUCCCUCAGUAUAUAUCAAAGGAAUAUUUAUGUUGGUGUUUUUCGAUGGAUAUUGACACGAACAAAAGAAAUGAGGUUAUUUGGACUUCUAGAACUCGAGAUAUGGGCUGAACACUGAACAGUGUCGAGGCUGUAGGACAGAUUCCGACUUCUCUGUUGUUGCUACCAUUUGAACUUGAAAAUAGUCCUUUUGAAUCUUGGACUCCUCAUGAAAGUUUUAGGCCUAUGUCUUAGCUUUCUAUCCAUAUAAACCAGACCUAAAUCCAAGUUCUACAGCUCUAGUUAUGAUCCAAUAACCAAAUGGUGUUCCAAUUUGAAUUCAACCAGCAUCUCUUUUCUAAGCUUAGCCCUCUCUUUGUCUUCUCAAUUUUAGUAGUUAAACUCAUCAAUCAAUCAUUUGAUUUAUGUGAUAGGCCUGCAUUUAAAAUGAAUAUUUACCAUAAAUUAAAGGUAUCUUAUAUUAUCAGACUUGUUAUUAUAAAACAUGCUUUAGUUAAGGAGUUAUUGAUACUUCAAGUGCAAAAUGAUGAUAUAAAAUCUUGAUAAAAAUUCACUUUUAAGUACUAAUCAGAUAUAACGAGGGAAUAUUCUGUUGGUAGAAUUCAAUGCAAUUUACCAACAAAAACAUUCUAUUGGUGUUGCCAUUUGUAUUUGCUAAUUUUUUGGUAGUGAAAGGGAAAUAAUGCUUGCAAUUGAAGGCUCCAUAGUGGCAAGAUUCACGAUAGCAGCAAUAGGGGAAGGUUGUACGUCAACAACAACAUGAGAAGAUUCCAAAGCAGAGGGAGAAGAAAAAGACUAAGGAUUCACAACAGCAGCAGGAGAAGCUUUCUAAGCAGAGGGAGAAGAAAAAUUCUACACCAUAGGUUGAGAUGAAGAGUCCAUUAGAGAAAAGAAAAGAAAGUUUUAAAGUGUAAUGGCUCUAAUAUUAACUUGAGAAUAAUAUGAGAUUUAACCUAUUAGUUAGCCAACCGUUCUUAUUUAUAUAUGUAGGGAAAUGUACAAUGGUUAAUGUAGAGAUUACAACACAAGAAUACUAAAACUUUCCUAAAUAUAUUUAUACAAGCCUUUAAUAUAUAAUAUAUUAGAUUAUUAGAUUACACAAACAUUUAUUCUCUUUCUUAGGGCUGAGAUGCAAUUCAUUAGGCUAAGCUCUAAUAUGGAAUCCAUUGCUUUUUCCAUCGAUCAAUAACUAACCUAAAAUGGGUUUUUUUUUUCUAUCUUUUAAACCAAUUUGUCAUCACCCAGUUUUUGAACCCUAGUUUUCAUCCUUUUCCAAAAAAAAAUACAAAACUCACAAAAAACGUGUUUUCAACGCGAUUAGACCAAUGAACAACUAUUUCAUAAUUUUCAACCUUUUUACAUAUUGUUUUUGCAUUUGCAAGUUUUAAAAAUAAUAAAUAAUAUUUAAAGUCUUGUGGGUUUGUGCCUGUUGCACGACAACCCUAAUGGUAUGAUGUCAUCAUGGAAUUUAUUUUUAUGGUGAAAUAAGGUUGAAAAUUAAUACCCCGCAAUGAGGUUGGAUGGAUUGGAUUGCAAAAGCUUUAUCUGAUGCAUAAUAGUUUGGUCUCGAUGUGGAUUUUAAUAUAAGUUUGAUUUUUUGUGAGUUUUAAUGUGCACUGAUCUAUUUGUUAAAUUAUGAUUUUUGGUGAUGUUAUUUUUAAAUUGUGAAUUUUAUUAUGUGUUGUCAUUUUUUUUUUGUGAAAUUUGUAUGUGCAUGCCUGAUUUUCAUUAUGUUUAAUUUUUUUCAUGAUGAAUUUUUUGAAAGUGUUUCCACAUAAAAAGCUAAAAAAACAUAAAAAUCUAUGAAUAUAAAAAAAAAAUGACAUGUUCAUUUAUUUUAUUUGUGUAUUUAGAAUAGGCAAACUUUAGCAUGUAAGAACAUUAAACACAUUUUAUCAUUGAAAAUAAACAACAAUGUAGCUUACCUUAAAUAUGAUGUAUAAGAUGAUGUCUAUCUUCUAUAUUACAUAACCAGCCCCUCACCUAGAACCUCUAAAGACUAAUUAGAAUUUCUAGUUACUAUAAAAUUAGGUGGUGACCCUUUUUCAUAUUUUUUUACCCUUUUUACAUGUAGCUCGCCUCGAUAUCCCCUUCGACACCACUAAUCCAAACCCACCAAAGCACUAAACUUUUGUAAUUUCCAAGACCCCAUUUUAGUACUCAUUUCACUAGAGUUAGAAUUUUCAAGUUCCCUUAAAAGGGGUUUUUUUGGUUCAUCCUAAUAACCAAAACCCAAAACUUGAUUUGACUGAAAAUGAAUCCAACCCCAUAAAAGAAAUAAUUUUGUUCUUUAUCCUCUUUUAUGUUUUUACUUAGUAAAUUAAAUCUAGCCUCCAAGAAGAAUCCAAAGACUAAAGAACCUUAAUUCAACAAAAACCCAACAUCUCAUUCUCCAAAAAUAGGUUUUGCGGCAAUAGAUCUGGAUGAAAUGAAUAUAAGAAUCUAGUGACAAGAAAAGAUAACCAUGGUAAACCAUGAAAUCAUAUGAGAGAAAUCGAUUAUAAUCACUGGUUUUUUUUUUUUGUUCGAUUUGGGUUUAAAAGGAGAGAAAUCGAUUUUUUAGUGAGAAGUUUUUUAGUUUAUUGAUGAGAAAGAAGAAGUUAUCUAUCAUUUGGGUUGAUUUUUAAUAUAAUAUAGAUGGGGGUAUUUUGGUAUUUCUGUUGAAUUUAGAAUUUUUCUUUGACAUGUGAUGGAAAUUGUAAUUUUUCAAAACUUGGUAAGCAAGUUGAAUUUUGACCAAACUAUAAGAUGCUAAGGGUAAUUUUCCAUUUAAUAUUUUAAGACUUGAGGGCUCUUUAGUCAUUAAUUAGAAUAUAAUGACAAUCUCGUAGAUAAUUUAAACUAUUUUGUUAACUUUUUUUAGCGAAGAUGUAAAGUAUUGUACAACUUUAAAAAUUAUUGACUUUAGAUGUAAACUGUAAUUUUUUAAAAAAUAAAGACAAAGCGAAAAAAAAUUUAAAUUAUAAAUGAAAAAUCACACUUGGCAUCCUAAUGUUUGGCACGAAUUGCAAUUACAUGGUGUAGGAAAUUUGAUGAAAUGACCAUAUCGCCUUUAUAUAUAUUGAAAUGAAACUUUAUACACACACACACACACAAUGAGUUUGGAAAAAAGUAAUAAAUUUUUGAUGCAAACGAAGAAGACAAGACCAACAAUAUCAGGAUCCUUGAUCAAACAUAGAGCAUACUUAAAUUUGCAGAAAUAUAAAUUUUGCAAAAAUGUAAAUAAUGUAAAUAGAAAUAGAUAAAUAGAAGUAAGAAUAUAUAUAUAUAUAUAUAUAUAUAUAUAUAUAUAUAUAUAUAUAUAUUAAAAUGAAAACUAACCAAACAACAUAUGAGUAGUUUUGUUACUUUUUCUCUUAGACCAAAUCACCUCCACUCUCUCUCAAUUACAUUUUUCUCUCGUUUUCUGAAUGAAAUUCGUAUCCAGAUCAAUCAAUUUUGUCUAAUUUGAGUUCAUCAAUAACCAUUUAUUUUUCAAAAAUUCCUAAUGGUUUCUUGGUGGAAUUUUUAUUGUUUUUGAGUUUCAAUGGCUCUUUAGUCAUUAAAUAAAUCAUAAUGGUAAACCUAUAAAUAAUUAGAUUUUUUUAAAAAAAAGAUAUUAAGUAUUAGCACAUCUAUAAAUUUAAUCACAAUUCAAACCAAUCCUCGUAAUGUCAAAGAUAGUUUUCAAUUAUAGAAAUAUAAUAUCAAAGAUAUUUUUCAAUUUAAUCACAAUUACUUUUCCCUAAAAACAUUUUUUCUUGGUUGAAAAUACAAGAUGAGGUUUGUUUUUAUCCUUAUGUGAUAUGGAUAUUAGGUUGGAAGUUAAAAGACACAUGUUAAAACUUGCAUUUACUCAUGCAAAAACCAAUAAGGAAGGUGACCCAUACAAACCAUAUAUACCAAUAAUAUAUAAAUCUUUCUUUACAUAUGAAAGCAAUGUUGGGUUCCUGAAUAUUAUACACGCAGCAGAAAUAAUAAAACAAAAUUACCUAAAAGUCCUAUUUAUUUUAUGCAGAUCUAGAGUUAUUUAGGAAUUUAUUACCUGGAGAUUUAAUUUUCUUCAACUUUCAAUAAUUCUUUAAAAAAAAUUGUCGCAAAUCACAAGUCAUUCAAUUGUUCGACCAUAAUCCACACGAACUACUAGUGAAAAAUCUUCUAAAUUUCUAUUUAGGAGAGAGAGAUUGCUAUGCCUAGAGUGCUAGCUCUCUAUUCUAAAUAGACAACUACUCCUUAAAACAAUAUGAGGCACAAUAUAUUAUUUAUAAAAAAUAUGAAAAACCCUAUAAAUUGGUAAGUAUCAAUUUGCCCCUUAAAUAAUAUCCAUAUAUUAUUUAAGGAUAAUUUUAGAAAUUUAAUCAAACAAGUCCCUAUUUGAUUAUUCUAGGACUAGAAUUAUAAUCCCUGAAAUAAAUACAUUUCAAUGCUUAAUUUCUAAAAUUAUUUUCAAUAAAGUCACACUUGAUUAAUUAUCUCGAUUUAAUUUCUAACUGAUAGUUCUUAAUAUGUGUGACCCGUUAUGUUCUUAAUUUCUAACUCUUUUCAAAUCUCAUUCCACCUUGACCAAUGAUUUUUCUAAAACUAUUUUCAAUCAAGUCAUACUUGAUUAAUUAUCUCGGUUUAAUUUCUAACUGAUAGUUCUUAAUAUGUGUGACCCGUUAUGUUCUUAAUUUCUAACUCUUUUCAAAUCUCAUUCCACCUUGACCAAUGAUUUCUCAGUCAAUACUAUUUGAUAACAGAUAAAAUAUUUUCUCCAACUCUCCUAGGAUGAUGAAUUCUCUCUUGAUCACUAAAAUACUUUCAUAUAGUUCAUGUUAUUCUCAAUGUUUGUCAUUUCAUCUCCUUGAUUAAGAUAACAUGUAAUGACAUCAAACCAUAAUAUUUUUUUUUAUAUAAGAUAACUUAGUGACUCAAGUCUAAAGAUCACUUACACAACCGUUAUGUGAGCCUUUCCAUUGACAUAUAUGAUCUUCUUCAUAUAGAAUCCUCAUGCUGGUCAAGUUAGUAUAUAUAUCCUAUGAUAAGCACCUACAUAUUAGUUCUAUGUAUCCCUUAUACCCCAGCUUAUGAGAACAACCACUUCCUUUCACAAAGAAAAGAACAUAACAUGUACUAGUCUCUACGACUCUAAUAAAUGUUCAAUAUUUAAGAGAGCAUCGACCAUAAAUAUUUUAAUAUCAAUGCUUUGAUGCAAUAAUAAUCUCAUAAUUAUAACUUUAUAAUUUCAUUUGCAAAACAGUUUUUUACCAUAAACAUUAUCUUUACUCUAGAUUCAUAAAUCAAAUAUUAAAUUUAUUAAUCUAAUAUUAUAUAAAUAUUAAUGAUAAAUUAACUUUUUAUUAAUAACAAAUAUAUAUUUACACAAAUAUAAUAAUUAUUUUAUAUAACUACAUGAUAUAUUAAACUAACAAGUCAAGGCAAUGACAUGACUCUCUUUUGGAUACACAUUGAAAUCCCAACGCAAACAGCCAUUGACAUGCAAAUGCUAGACUAUAUACAACCUUCAAUUAGUGCAUGAUCACAAACCCCGCGACUUGUUUUCCCCUUUGCAUAAAGCAUAGAUGUUAAAUCCAAGUAUGGAUUGGAAGAUUUACAUGGAAAACUUGGAAUUUCGAGUUUAACCGGAGCCAAGUUUUUAGCAUAAAAUAUAGUUGUUAAAUCCGACUAGAUUUUUAAUGAUCCACUUAAUCUCGCUAAAUCUAAUUCAAACCUAGCCUGCUGAUUCAAUAAAAAAAUAAAUAAAUGAUACGGCUUUAAUAAAAAUAAUUGAACAACUAUUUUCUAAAUAAGUCCUUAAAUCGAGUAUGACAGGUAUAAUACAGAGGUUCUAGUCACUCUCAACAAUUAGAAAUUUCAAUGAGGACAAACUAUGAAACACCAUCUUUUUAUAGCAAAGCUAAAAGAAAGUUGCAAUAAUUUUAGAUUACGAAAACAUUUAUUAUCUUCAGAAGUUCAGAUGGUGUACAAACUCUUAUUCUCUUCAGAAGUUCAGAUGGUGUACAAACUCACACAAUUUUCGAAAACUUCAAAGGGAGCUGAAAUCCACGAGUAGAAGCAAGACAGCAUGGCAUGGCCGUAUGCCUUCUAUACAGCUUUCCAUGAUUUAAGAGGUGGAGUAUCUGAAUCCUUGAAUGUAGACAGGCCAUCGCCAUACCGAUCUCCCCUUACAGCAUCUGAAGAAGCUAUUGAUUCGAGUUCAGCCAUUUCUUCUGGCGUUAGUUUGACAGACAUAGCUCCAACAUUCUGGUUGAAGUUUUCGAUCUUGGUGGUUCCAGGAAUAGGACAUACAUCAUCACCCUGGUGGUGUACCCAG
rnacentral:lncRNA from 1 species